AUUGAACGCUGGCGGCAGGCCUAACACAUGCAAGUCGAGCGAGCGGCGGACGGGUGAGCAAUGUCUGGGAGACUGCCUGAUGGAGCGGGAUAACGACUGGAAACGGUAGCUAAUACCGCAUAACAUCCGAUGUGACCAGUUGGGGUUGGCGGGUAGGUGGGGUAACGGCUCACCUGGGCGACGAUCCCUAGCUGGUCUGAGAGGAUGCCCAGCCACACUGGAACUGAGACACGGUCCAGACUCCUACGGGAGGCAGCAGUGGGGAAUAUUGCACAAUGGGCGCAAGCCUGAUGCAGCCAUGCCGCGUGUGUGAAGAAGGCUUUCGGGUUGUAAAGCACUUUCAGAGGGGAGGCGUUACCCGCAGAAGAAGCACCGGCUAACUCCGUGCCAGCAGCCGCGGUAAUAC
rnacentral:rRNA from 1 species